rnacentral:lncRNA from 1 species
GUGCCUUCUUGCACUUAAGCGUGAACCCGGCCAUCUGAAUGGCUCUACUGUCAUCAGCCCUAAUCUCAUCUGUGAUCACUUUAACCCUUUCAAGAUAUACAAAUGGGUCAUCCCCUUUUUCAUACUGAGGAGCACCCAAUUUCAUGUAGUCAGUCAUCUUAACCUUGCUCCCACUGGUUGAGCUAGGUCUGGAUGGCUGAG